AUUGAACGCUGGCGGCAGGCCUAACACAUGCCAGUCGAACGGUAACAGGAAGAAGCUUGCUUCUUUGCUGACGAGUGGCGGACGGGUGAGUAGUGUCUGGGAAACUGCCUGAUGGAGGGGGAUAACUACUGGAAACGGUAGCUAAUACCGCAUAACGUCGCAAGACCAAAGAGGGGGACCUUCGGGCCUCUUGCCAUCGGAUGUGCCCAGAUGGGAUUAGCUAGUAGGUGGGGUAACGGCUCACCUAGGCGACGAUCCCUAGCUGGUCUGAGAGGAUGACCAGCCACACUGGAACUGAGACACGGUCCAGACUCCUACGGGAGGCAGCAGUGGGGAAUAUUGCACAAUGGGCGCAAGCCUGAUGCAGCCAUGCCGCGUGUAUGAAGAAGGCCUUCGGGUUGUAAAGUACUUUCAGCGGGGAGGAAGGGAGUAAAGUUAAUACCUUUGCUCAUUGACGUUACCCGCAGAAGAAGCACCGGCUAACUCCGUG
rnacentral:rRNA from 1 species